GACGAACGCUGGCGGCGCGCUUAACACAUGCAAGUCGAGCGAGAACCAGGGCUUCGGCCCUGGGGAAAGCGGCGAACGGGUGAGUAACACGUGAGUAAUCCACCCUCGGUACCGGGAUAGCCCGGGGAAACCCGGAUUAAUACCGGAUGGCCCAGCAGCUCUUCGGGGCGGCUGGAAAAGGUAGCUUCGGCCUCCGACCGAGGACGAGCUCGCGGCGGAUUAGCUGGUUGGUGGGGUAACGGCCUACCAAGGCGACGAUCCGUAGCUGGUCUGAGAGGACGAUCAGCCACACUGGGACUGAGACACGGCCCAGACUCCUACGGGAGGCAGCAGUGGGGAAUCUUGCGCAAUGGGCGAAAGCCUGACGCAGCGACGCCGCGUGCGGGAAGAAGGCCUUCGGGUUGUAAACCGCUUUCAGGAGGGACGAAGCCACUCGGGUUAAUAGCCCAGAGGGUGACGGUACCUCCAGAAGAAGCCCCGGCUAACUACGUGCCAGCCGCCGCCGUAAAAC
rnacentral:rRNA from 1 species